UAAGGACCAUAUUUUUGCCAGCUCUGCGAUCUGACCAGCGCCCUUAUCAGCCUGGGCCUCACAAGUGACCGAAUGCAGUUUCUUAUUUAUUUAGGCACGCAAAGGAUACACAGCAAAGCAGAUAUCGCAGUAACAUACUACAGACAGAGCUGUGCUUAUCCACCCUGCGCAAAGAGGGAGAGGAGAAAGUCUGAAACAAACAUGGGAAUUUCCUGCUAGAAAAAUCCACAAAGGAGCAGAUCCACUGCCCGCGGUGCUCCAUUUGCUCCUUCACAGGAGAUGUGCUGCAAGCAGUCGUUUGGUGUCUGCUGCUCCAGGUUGCUAACAGCUCUUGAAGAGCUCUUUAGGGCCAGGCUUAAGGUAGACAAGCCCUUUUGCUGAUCUCAUUUGGUGCUGAGGCUCCCUCACCAGCUCAGGAUUAAGGUAGCUCUCCUCUACAACUAGCUUGUUCCAGUUAC